rnacentral:lncRNA from 1 species
CACGGUCGUGCUCGGAACGCAAGAUGACCGCGAGGACCCAGAGGGCGCGCCAUGCGAGCUCACAGGGCUGGGGGCCACCUGGGCCCGCGCGUGCAGCCAGGGGCUUCCGGCCGCGGCCCCGGCGCGUGGUCUGCGCGCGCCCGGCCGUGCGCGCGGCUGCGGGGAGGCUGCGUGUGUGCGCAGGGCGGGAGCGCCGUCCACCUUCUCGCUUCCGAGCUGGGUGCGCGCCGAGCACAGGAGUUUGCACAGAGUGCCUGCUUUUAGGAGGUGGCUGUGUUGUCGGAAAAGCUGUCAAGGAGGAAAUUGCCAAACCGUGUCUUUUUUUCUGUUUUCAGAGUAAUUCACAGCAGAUCUGAGUGUUUUAAUUAAAGCAUGGAAUACAGAAAACAACAAAAAACUUAAGCUUUAAUUUCAUCUGGAAUUCCACAGGUGAGUUCAUCUUAUAACUUAUAAAUUAUCCUAAUUGAUUAAUAAUGUCCGUAAUAAUGCCCUUUACAAGGUUUAAGGA